UGCCAGCAGCCGCGGUAAGACAGAGGGUGCAAACGUUGUUCGGAAUUACUGGGCGUAAAGCGCGUGUAGGCGGCUACGCAAGUCGGGUGUGAAAGCCCUCGGCUCAACUGAGGAAGUGCAUUCGAAACUGCGUAGCUUGAGUCUCGGAGAGGAUGGUGGAAUUCUCGGUGUAGAGGUGAAAUUCGUAGAUAUCGAGAGGAACACCGGUGGCGAAGGCGGCCAUCUGGACGAUGACUGACGCUGAGACGCGAAAGCAUGGGGAGCAAACAGGAUUAGAUACCCUGGUAGUCCAUGCUGUAAACGAUGGGUGCUAGGUGUCGCGGGCAUUGACCCCUGCGGUGCCGUAGCAAACGCAUUAAGCACCCCGCCUGGGGAGUACGGCCGCAAGGCUAAAACUUAAAGGAAUUGGCGGGGGAC
rnacentral:rRNA from 1 species